GAUGAUAAUGUCCAUAAAACAAGUUAUUAACGCACCAUUUACACAGUUUUAAUAGAGUUGACAUUUUUAACACUUUAUAAAAACCUCUAGAUUGUAAACUAAUUUGAGCAGGGUCCUAAUCAACCUAUUAUUCCUGUAACAUUUUGUAAUUGUCUCAUUUAUUGUUAAAUUUCCCCUUUGUAAUAUUGUAAAUCAUUGCACCAUAAAUUGGCGCUAUUUAAAUGACAAUGAUAAU